rnacentral:rRNA from 1 species
AGUAACGGCGAGUGAAGCGGCAACAGCUCAAAUUUGAAAUCUGGUCCCCUCUGGGGGCCCGAGUUGUAAUUUGAAGAGGAUGCUUUUGGCGAGGCGCCGUCCGAGUUCCCUGGAACGGGACGCCGCAGAGGGUGAGAGCCCCGUACGGUCGGACGCCGAGCCUCUGUAAAGCUCCUUCGACGAGUCGAGUAGUUUGGGAAUGCUGCUCAAAAUGGGAGGUAAACCCCUUCUAAAGCUAAAUACCGGCCAGAGACCGAUAGCGCACAAGUAGAGUGAUCGAAAGAUGAAAAGCACUUUGAAAAGAGAGUUAAAAAGCACGUGAAAUUGUUAAAAGGGAAGCGCUUGCGACCAGACUUGCGCCCGUCGGAUCAACCGUCGCUUGCGGCGGCGCACUCCGGCGGGCUCAGGCCAGCAUCAGUUCGCCUGGGGGGAGAAAGGCGGCGGGAAUGUGGCUCUUCGGAGUGUUAUAGCCCGCCGUGUAAUACCCUCGGGUGGACUGAGGACCGCGCGUAUGCAAGGAUGCUGGCGUAAUGGUCGUCAGCGACCCGUCUUGAAACACGGACCAAGGAGUCGUCCUAAUAUGCGAGUGUACGGGUGUCAAACCCCUGCGCGUAAUGAAAGUGAACGGAGGUGAGAGCUUCGGCGCAUCAUCGACCGAUCCUGAUGUUCUCGGAUGGAUUUGAGUAAGAGCAUAUUGGGCCGGACCCGAAAGAAGGUGAACUAUGCCUGUGUAGGGUGAAGCCAGAGGAAACUCUGGUGGAGGCUCGCAGCGGUUCUGACGUGCAAAUCGAUCGUCAAACAUGGGCAUGGGGGCGAAAGACUAAUCGA